rnacentral:rRNA from 1 species
CAUGCCUUACACAUGCAAGUCGAACGGCAGCACGGGGGCAACCCUGGUGGCGAGUGGCGAACGGGUGAGUAAUGCAUCGGAACGUGCCCAGUAGUGGGGGAUAACCAGUCGAAAGAUUGGCUAAUACCGCAUACGACCUAAGGGUGAAAGCGGGGGACCGUAAGGCCUCGCGCUAUUGGAGCGGCCGAUGUCUGAUUAGCUAGUUGGCGGGGUAAAAGCCCACCAAGGCGACGAUCAGUAGCUGGUCUGAGAGGACGACCAGCCACACUGGGACUGAGACACGGCCCAGACUCCUACGGGAGGCAGCAGUGGGGAAUUUUGGACAAUGGGCGCAAGCCUGAUCCAGCCAUGCCGCGUGCGGGAAGAAGGCCUUCGGGUUGUAAACCGCUUUUGGCAGGAACGAAACGGCGAUUCCUAAUACGAGUCGUUAAUGACGGUACCUGCAGAAUAAGCACCGGCUAACUACGUGCCAGCAGCCGCGGUAAUACAGAGGGUGCGAGCGUUAAUCGGAAUUACUGGGCGUAAAGCGCACGUAGGCGGCUUGGUAUGUCGGGUGUGAAAUCCCCGGGCUCAACCUGGGAACUGCAUCCGAAACUGCCUUGCUCGAGUAUGGGAGAGGGAAGUGGAAUUUCCGGUGUAGCGGUGAAAUGCGUAGAUAUCGGAAGGAACAUCAGUGGCGAAGGCGACUUCCUGGACCAAUACUGACGCUCAGGUGCGAAAGCGUGGGGAGCAAACAGGAUUAGAUA